rnacentral:lncRNA from 1 species
AAAUACCCAAGAUUCAUUGCCAUAAUUAUGUCCAGGUGUGUUAGAGUUCCCUAAGGACCUCAAGGAUCCCGAGCAGUGCUCACACCCAGACUUUCUCAAAUAAAGACUGAUUAUGUGCAGUGUGGAAGAGCCAGCCCUGAUAUGCCAGAGUUCAAAAAGAUCUCAAGGACCUCUAUGCAGUACACAUACCAGAGGGGCAGGACUUAAUAACAUAAGGAUAAGGUAGAGUGCUUGACAUGAUUUGAAAGAGUUUUGGUAAAUAGUAUAGAGAGGAUUCUUAGAGGUGAAUAGAUUUUCUGAAAAUCAAUACUAAUUUGGAGGUAAAACAGCUUGAGAAAAGUAUGAAAAAACACUUUUAAGUCAAACACAAAUCACAGAACAACCAUAUUCUUAAACACUUCGCAAGCAAGUUCCACACAAGGAGAGAGGGGUUGGGGACACAUAGAAUACACCUUAGUGUAUAGUAGAGCACAUAAACAACAAGGUGCAUAGAAUUCUCAAGGGGUUUUGCAGAACUAAUAGGUCAGCUAUAAGGUAGGUCACUAAGACAUAGAGCAAGGAUCACAGUAAAGCCACAUUGAAAACACAUGAACACUGGACAGAAUCAAUAACACAACUAGAGUUACCUGAGGGACUAGAUGACUUAGCAUGAGCAAAACAGAAUGGGCAAGAACUUAAAUGGACAGGCUAGGCAAAUAUCAACAAGUAGACAUAGUGUAGGCAUGCUGAACAAAAUAAGAUUUAAACAUGCUAGGUAAAUAAUGGACAGGCCAGCAUAAUUUAGACAUGUUAAUCACAUAUGAAACCAGGCAGUAUUAGGCAUGUUAGAUAAACAGUAGACAAGCAAGUAAGUUGAGACAUGCUAAUCACAUAUUGAACAAGGUGUAUUAGGCAUGCUAGAUAAAUAGUAAAUAGGAGCAGGAAUGAACUUAGGACUGAUGGACUAAGGCAGUAAUGAAACACAUAGGGUUUGGGUUCUAAGAUUUAAUCAGAGGCAUACCAAUUAGGGAAAGAGAACACAAGAUGUAAGAUUGGUGUUGUGCAAUUUCUAGCCUUGGCUUACAGCCGGCAAGACUAAUGAAGAUCACAAGUAGCAGAAGAACAAAGAGCUUUUAGAGUGUAAGAGUAGUGGUGAACUAAUGUUUUUCUGUUAAAAAGUUAAAUACGAGAGUUUAUAUAGUAGUUCAAGAGUAGAGCAAAUAAGGUAAAGUAAUCGAUAAUCAACAAUUAAGGGAUCUCAGAAUCAAUCACACAAAGAGGUUCAGCAUAGUCUUCCCCUUAAUUAAGAGCAAUUAGCCAAUGGUAAUGACAGGAACUAGUUAAGGUAAGAGGUUCAAAUCAGACUGAGUAAAGAAGUAAAGAAUCAAAGGCCAUAUUAAGGAAAGGAGUUCAAAUCAAACCAAAUAAAGAACUUCGACAUAAAAUAAUCAAGGGUUUAAUUAAGGAAAGAAUCAUGUAAAGAAUCAGUAAAUGUACAACAAUCAAAUAAGGCAAGAACGACUAAUUAAGGUCAUAAACAUAGAAAUAAUCAAGAAUCAUGCACCCGAAUUUUUUAGCAGAGCAAAUCACUUAACAAUUCUUGAAAGAACAUAUCAAUUCCCAUAAACAAAAAGGUUGAGUAAAAUUUUUAGGAACACAGAGAAAUUAGAUGGAAAAUAAUUCAAAAACCCCUAAUUUGAAAACACUUAAAGAAGGAAAACAACCAUAGAAAACUUGAAAGCACAUCGACACACAGAGAUUCAAACAACAGAAAUCAUAGAAAUCGAAACCUGAAGUAACGUAGUGAUUAAAAAUCCGUUAGUAGUAGAGAAGUAAAAGAACCUAAAAGAAUAGUCGUGGAAGUUUUAAAAUACUUCAGAAUACUCAGAGGUUCGACCAACAAACAACAAGAAAAACAAACUCUAAUAUAACAAAAUGUUCAAAAAUCGAUUAAUUAGUAAAGAAAUAAAGGAGCCUUAAGGAAAAAGCAAUGACGAUCUCAAAUCGCUCCAGAUCUACAAGGAUCUGGACGGAUUCAAGUCCAAAUGCUAAGUUUUGAAGAAAAGAGAAAGGGUAAUGAGAAUCUAGCCUUUGAAUCAAAGAUUUGAGCCGUGAAACUUUGAUAGAAAUCACUCACAGACCACAGACAGACUCUUGAAGAGUUUUAAACGAGAUCUGGACCAGAUCUCUUCGAGGUCCUUCCACAAAACCACAUAAUUGAGCAACCAUGGGAAAUAAGAGACAAGUAAAGGCCUAAUACAGCCAUGGGAAGCCAUAGAUCGGGUAGGAAUCAAAGGGAUUAGGGCUGGUUUUGGGUGGUAGCGGAUAGGGUUAAGUUUGGUCUCAAAGAGAAUUAGAGAGGAGAGGGUUUCAGCGGCGGCGGUUGUAGACAAAUGACUAGGGUUUGGGGGUCAUUGUGACUAAAAAAGGAAAGGGGGAACGAUGGUCGUUGAUCUCUGUGAUCAAUGGUUAGGAUUAAAAGGAUUUGGGGCCGAGUUAAAUGUUAUGGGUUUGGGCUGGGUAGAUUUGGGCUGGUGUGGGAUUGAAUUUGGGCAUUUAAUUAGGCUAGGUCCAAAAUAGAAAAGGCUAUUUGUUACAUACCCAUUUAAUUGAUAAAAUAAUUUUUUAAAUAACUAAUAGGUUGUAAAAAAUGAUUUUCAUGCCUGGAAAUAUUUUAAAAUAAUUACUUAAUAUUUUAAAAAUAUAAAAGGCUAUUUUCUAGUAAAAUAAUGUAAUAAUGCAUUCAUAAGCUAUAAUUACAAAGUAAUUGCAAUUGCAUCCUAAAAAUACAAAUAUGGCUAUUUGUGCAAUAAUUGAAACUUUCUGCAAAUGAUAAAAUUAAGCCACAAAAAAAUUAUUAUAAAACUAUUUGUGAUGCAAUCAGUGAUUGUUUUAUAAAUAAAAUGUUGGGAAAAAUUAAUUAAAAUAUUUUAAAAAUGCAGAAAUUGUAUGAAAAAUAAUAAUUGAUGCCCAGGCAUAAUUUUGAAAAUAUUAUGAGAAAAAUUGGGUAUCAACAUACAUAACAUCCACCCCUUUUAUUAUCUACGACAAAUUAUAUUGGUCAUUAGUCAAUUGACAUAGUCGUACUCAUUAAUUAAACUCACAUCCCUACCUCAAACAGUAAUCAAUCUCAACUAUAUCUGUAUGACUGAUCCAAGAUGUGAACACAUCGCUAAAUCAGUAUGCCUAUCUCGUGCUUGACUGACCCCGGCAUGUACAUAGACUAGUAAUCAGAACCAUCGCGAGAAGCACACCACCGGAAAUCAUCAACUUUACUAUUAGAUUUUAUAGUUAAAAGCUACAAAAUUCUCUAACAUGUCAACUUAGGAUUUAGGAAAAGCCGCAUAAUCAUAGGUAAGGGACGCAAUUAUCUUUAUUCUCAAUACAAUUAUCAAAUAUAUCGACUCAAAUCAGAUCUAAGUUCUAACAUAAUGCAAAAGCAUUAAUCAAACAUUGAAACUACUGGACUUACAAAUUAAAAUGAUGAACUUUGGACUUUGUGGAAAAGGAAAUAAAAGAACUAAAGAUCCAUCAUGUCCAUCUGCAAGAUAAAAAUAAAGAGCUUAUGCUUUAUGCAUUAAAUAUGGACAACAUCAAAUGUGGAUGUCCACCAAAAAAUAGAAAAAUGAAAAUGUGCUUCCUCUAAACUUUUGAAUAUCUCCGAAAUGAUUUCAUAUAAAAGGCCAGAAAGUAACAAAAUAUCAUAGCACAAUAUUAUUUUUUGGUAGAAAACCUUCAAAAGUUAUUACUUCAGAAGAAAAUUUAACAGGGGAAGGAUCAUGAAUUUGAUGAACCUAAGGAGAAUUAGACAGUUAAAAAGAUUUUCAUUGAUCAGAAAUAGGUACAAUAGUGUAGUAACAACGUAUAGAUAUCAUGUCAGUCAUAUAUCCUGCUUCUUAAUACAAUAUCUUUGUGUGGCAUUUUAUCGAACACCAAACAAGCUGCUUGAAUUUUUCCUCUAGAAGCAAAUACAACCAGUGAUAUAGUAAGAAACAAAUGAAUCAUAAUCAAAUCAAAUUUCCUAUCAUUUUAUCAAAGUACUUUAUUAUAUUGUGAUUUUCCAGCAGAACUAGACUUCUAUAUACACAUAAAGAAAAAAAAUUACUUCUUAGAUGAAACAAGAAAUACAACAAAAACCCUAAGAAUUAUUUUUGGGAUCAAGAAUUUGUGUAAUGGUAAAAGUAGAGCAUCACUCAUCUUCAUGAGACGAUAGUUGCAGAUCGCUCAAAAUAUAUUAAAUAAGCAAUAAAUACUCGAAAAAUAAAAUAAAUUAGAGUAAGAAAUGAUAGCAUACCUGGGAGACCAACGUAGGUUGUAUUACAAGAGUUGUAGCAACUGAAUCCAUGAGUAGUGAUGAUCUCUAUGUUGUUCCUAUAAUAAGAGAGUAUCAUAGCCAUUUGAACUAUAAGGGAGACAUUGUGGACGGAAGGAGUUACAGAAGAGAAGGAAAGGAUCAUAUAGGGUUUUCUUUUGGAGGGAAUAUUAUUUUUAUCUUUCAACUCUUUUGGUGGAAUAUAAAACAGUAAAA